UACGGAGGGGACUAGCGUUGUUCGGAAUUACUGGGCGUAAAGCGCACGUAGGCGGCUUUGUAAGUCAGGGGUGAAAUCCCGAGGCUCAACCUCGGAACUGCCUUUGAUACUGCAAAUCUCGAGUCCGGAAGAGGUGAGUGGAAUUCCUAGUGUAGAGGUGAAAUUCGUAGAUAUUCGGAAGAACACCAGUGGCGAAGGCGGCUCGCUGGACAAGUAUUGACGCUGAGGUGCGAAAGCGUGGGGAGCAAACAGG
rnacentral:rRNA from 1 species